CCCUUAGAUGUUCUGGGCCGCACGCGCGCUACACUGAUGAAUGCAACGAGCUCUACCCUUGACCGAAAGGCCCGGGUAAACUUGUGAAACUUCAUCGUGAUGGGGAUAGAUUAUUGCAAUUAUUAAUCUUCAACGAGGAAUUCCUAGUAAGCGCGAGUCAUCAGCUCGCGUUGAUUACGUCCCUGCCCUUUGUACACACCGCCCGUCGCUCCUACCGAUUGAAUGGUCCGGUGAAAUCUUCGGAUUGCUGAUCAAAUUCCAGCAAUGGAGCUUGAUUGUGAGAAGUUGAUUAAACCUUAUUAUUUAGAGGAAGGAGAAGUCGUAACA
rnacentral:rRNA from 1 species